rnacentral:rRNA from 1 species
UGGGCGUAAGGGCUCGCAGGCGGUUUCUUAAGUCUGAUGUGAAAGCCCCCGGCUCAACCGGGGAGGGUCAUUGGAAACUGGGAAACUUGAGUGCAGAAGAGGAGAGUGGAAUUCCACGUGUAGCGGUGAAAUGCGUAGAGAUGUGGAGGAACACCAGUGGCGAAGGCGACUCUCUGGUCUGUAACUGACGCUGAGGAGCGAAAGCGUGGGGAGCGAACAGGAUUAGAUACCCUGGUAGUCCACGCCGUAAACGAUGAGUGCUAAGUGUUAGGGGGUUUCCCCCC